rfam:Photobacterium jeanii strain R-40508 scaffold4, whole genome shotgun sequence.
CCUAUCUCAGUAGGCCAUGUUUACUGGGGCACAUGCGUUAUGACAAAUCUAGCUGGUAGGGUCAUAACGUGCCGUAGGUACUGAUGUGAUUGAUGAGUCCAUCAGUAGAAGGGCAUUGAUAGCGCUAGCCUGGAAAUAAAACAGGCGCAUAUUAAAGGAACCCAACA